GACGAACGCUGGCGGCGUGCUUAACACAUGCAAGUCGAACGGAAAGGCCCUGCUUGCCGGGUACUCGAGUGGCGAACGGGUGAGUAACACGUGGGUGAUCUGCCCUGCACUUCGGGAUAAGCCUGGGAAACUGGGUCUAAUACCGGAUAUGACCUUCCAUGUAGUGUGGGGGGUGGAAAGAUUUAUCGGUGUGGGAUGAGCCCGCGGCCUAUCAGCUUGUUGGUGGGGUAAUGGCCUACCAAGGCGUCGACGGGUAGCCGGCCUGAGAGGGUGGACGGCCACAUUGGGACUGAGAUACGGCCCAGACUCCUACGGGAGGCAGCAGUGGGGAAUAUUGCACAAUGGGCGGAAGCCUGAUGCAGCGACGCCGCGUGGGGGAUGACGGCCUUCGGGUUGUAAACCUCUUUCGACAGGGACGAAGCUUCGGUGACGGUACCUGUAGAAGAAGCACCGGCUAACUACGUG
rnacentral:rRNA from 1 species